CAUCUUGUGCUGUUUUAUGUUCUGAGAAGGAUUGAUUACCACAAAGACAGAUCUAUAGAGAAUGUGAGUGGAAACUAUACGAGCUGCUAACGGGACAAGGCAUUUAAGAAUCAUCCGAGUUCUGCUCUUCUUGCUGGCUGGAGCUAAGAAUUCAAGAACAAACACCAGCAAAGAGAUUCAAUACAAAUAUCCAAUUUUGAGAUAAGGGAUGGAUAACCAUAGUGCAUGCCCUCAGAACUUUUAAUCUUUAUGAAACAUUUGAAGACCUCGAGAAAGGACAAUACCCUUGGUUCUAUACAGAUGCUGUCAUGAAUUCAUCUUAUAUCAGUUUCAUAAUCCAUGUAGUCAAAUACCAUUGAGGAUAGUUGUGUGGUCACUAUGUUGUAAUAUCAGACAAAGAUGACAGUGAAUCUGCAAAAGAAGAAAGCAUUCUGAGAACCACUGAUUCCAGAGCAGGUGAAGGAAAUUUGAAAACGUAUGAAGAAAGAGACAAACAUUGGAGUUAUGCUGCCAACAACCAAGGAACAUCUGGGGCUACAAAAAGCUGGAAGAGGCAAGGAUGGACCUUUCUCUACAAGUUUCAGAAGGAGCACGGCCCAGUCCACACCUUGAUUUCAGAUUUCUAGCCUUCAGAACUGUGAGACAAUAUAUUUCUGUUGUUGAAAGCCACUCCAUUUGUGGUAUUUUGUUAUGGCCCUAGAAAACUAAUCAAUAGAUAUUAAGGUGAGAAAAAUAGUUUCAUUGCAAAAUAAUUUCUCCACAGCAAGUUCUAAGAGUGAACAUACUUUUAAAUGCAGCUAAAUAAAAAUGAAGAAUGUCUCAGUGACUUUACUGUAUUAAUGGCUAUCUUGAUGCUCCUAGAGGAGAAUUGUAACAUAAAAUAUUUUCAUUUCUUAAUUAGUUUUGUUUGUUAGUUUUUGUUUUUUUAGAUACAGAGCACUCUCCUGUUGCCCCAGAUGGAAGGUAAUGGUGCAAUCAUGCGCAAUCACACCUCACUGCAGCCUCAACUUUCUGGGAUCCAGUGAUCCUCCUGCCUCAGCCUCCCAUGUAGCUGGGAACACAGAUUUGCACCACAGCACCAGGCUAAUAUAAAAAUAUUUGUUAGUGGAACAAAACAUUUUCCAUACUGGUCAUGUCACAUAACUACUACUCAAUGGAAGCUAAUUUGGGAAAUGCAGAAUGUCAAAAUUAAAAUAAUUACCAUAAUACCUAGAAAAUUCAAAGCAACUUCUUAUUUUCCUCCAGGCAAAG
rnacentral:lncRNA from 1 species